GCAACCGGCUGCGGUGGGUUUGUGUGGUGUGGACGGUUAGUUCUUUUUGUUCUUCCCAAUAAUAUUUGCUGCUGUUCAUUGAUUGGGUCCUGGCUGCCUUUAUGAGCUGUAACACUCACUGUGAAGGUCUGCAGCUUCACUCCUGAAGCCCACGAGACCAGGAACCCACCAGAAGGAAAAAAUUCGGGAUAUAUCUGAACAUCAGAGGGAGCAAACUCCGGACCCACCAUCUUUAAGAACUGUAACACUCACUGUGAGGGUCUGCAGCGUGUUCUUGAAGUCCGGGAGACCAAGAACCCACCAAUUCCGGACACAGUGGUAGGUGAUGUUUUGAUGAUACUGUGAGAUUGUUAAUUGAUUCCUUUGAGUUUCCACUGUAUGGUUGCUUUAUAGGGUCUGUGGGCUAUGUUCUUAGGGUGUUUUUAUGGUGGCAGAUACUGUUCUUUCAUGUCCAUGUGAGAACUCUUCUAAGGAUCUCUUGUAAGGCUG
rnacentral:lncRNA from 1 species